GUUGUUUUUUAAUUAAUUAAAAACAACAGUAAAUAUCACAUGUUCAAUUUUUAUAUAUUAAAUUAAUAACAGUUUAUAAAUAAGUGAACUUAAUAAAGUUUAUAGGUUAGAUUUAUGCGUGGAUAGCUUUUAAUAGGCAUGAAGUUUACGAGUUCACGUGAAGCGUGCUAACUUGUACUUUACGAAAGAAAGAUUCGAUAAAGUUAAAUCUCUACGUUUGUGGUUUGUGAUGUUAAUGAAUGAAUUUUAGGAAUGUGUUAUUUUUAAAUUGUUGUAAGUUGAAGAAAUAUGCAUCCGGUUAAUAGCAGGGAGCACAACAUAAUUUAACCUAUAGGUAUGCAUGUAAACUAUGUAAAAAUAAAAAAGUAAAAGCGUAUAUCUAUUAGGAUAAUAAAGAUUAGAAUAUUAAAACAAAUUGAUCGAUUUCAUUGAUUCGAUUAAUAUUAAUUUAAUCUCUUCUAUUCCGAUUGAUUUUAAUCGUAUCUUCUAAUUUUAUAACCUAUCAUUAUUUCAUGUGAUUAAAUCUUAUUAUUUCAUUUUAAUAUUCUAUUGCCAAUUUUUAAAAUCUCCAUUAAAAAACAAACAUUUACAUAUGUUAUGAUUAAUGAAAGCUUCGAUUAUCAUGACAGUUUCAUUUUACAGUUGUCAUUCUACUCAUAAAAUGUAUAUAUUCUUCGCAUGUCGCAGCGUGCCAACAAUAAUAAUCCUGAUUAUAGUCGGAACGUGAUGUCAUUUUUAAUGCUAAACGAUUUGAAUUUUAUGGUUGCACAUCGGCGAAAAUGAUUCGAUCAAGCCAAUCGAUGAAAGGCAUAUAGAAUCAAAUUAUUGAACGAUUAGACUGCUUUCUAUAAUUGGGAAUGCACAGGGCGACUACGUAGCUCGAGCCACCACCGAUCCCCUCCACCUUUUUGCAGAAGCUACUGUCGAACCGUGCGACCGAUUCGCGGAUUCGCAUUGCCCAGUUUCAACCCCGAAACAGCACAUCUUUCUCGUAAACUUUCACACGAAAUCCUUUACACUUAUACGGAUACGGUGAUCGAUCUAUCGACAGUUUUACAAGUGAUCAUGCUACGAGAUGACAAUCGAUGGAAUGUUCCAAGAUAAUAUGAAGCAAAAACACAAGCACAAACACUCAAAGUGUUGAUUGAAAUAGAGGAGAGAAAGCCAAGAAGGAAAUAUGUUUUUGAAUGAGCGUGCAUCUAUUUUUAAUAAAUGGACUACGAAGCUUAUGAUAAGACGCAAAGAAGCCCGUUUGCAUAUCCUGGUAAAUUUUGAUAAAGAAGCAAAUUAUUCUUUCGCAUUAUUCAGUCCAUGCAUGGUAGGUCAAUGUACACUACUACCCCUCCCAAAAUAUUACUUAUGUUCGAUACAUUAGUAUCGGUUUUUAGAUUUUUUAUAUGAAAAUUUUAAUAAACAAAUUUUUUCUAGAA